UCAGUGUAGCCUAGAAUUUAUGGAGCUCAGAUCAAGGAUUCCUCUUCUAUCCUCUUACCUUGUCACUCUGAACAAUGAUAAGGUUUUGAAAUUUUACAGCUGGAAAAGACUUUAAUUUCCUUAGUUCCUUACUUUACAGGUGAAAAGAAAAGGAAAAAGGAUGAGAAGAUAUGAGGCCCUGGGAAGAUGAAGCCAGCAGCCCAGGAUGACAGCAAUGAGCCAGCCUCCGAAGACACAUAAGGAUAUCCCCUAAGAGUGUGAAUUUGAGUCCCUGCCCAUUGGGGCCAACUAUGGCUACUUGUCAAUAAGCUUGACAUUCUAUGAUCCUGACUGCACAGAGUGGAAUGUUAAAAUCUGAUACCAGCAGUAGAGAUAUUCAAUGCAGAAACAUUUGUUACACAAGGUUCUUGGGUGAAAGAUCGUGCUGCACAUCUUCUCUACAGCUUUGAGCAAGUCACACGGCCUCUUUGGAGCUUAAUUUCUUCAUCUAUAAAGGUCUACCCUAUUGUGAAAAUAACCAUGAAUAGUAAAGUGCCACACUACUGAUAGAAGGAAGAAAGGCAAAGAAGUCACAAUUAUGAACGAGGCUGUUUGCAUUCUGGAUUAAUAAAUUGGGAGUUGGGAAGAUUAAUUUACACGGCCUACACACCUAAGG